UAGAUAAACCAUGGGAAAACUGCUUGAAAUUCUCGAAAUAGACUGCCUCCGUGUGCCCUGUGAGAAAGUUACUGCGUUAACUGAACGGAGCUGAGUGGAAGCAGGUUUCCCUCUAAUUUUUAGCUGCUUUGCAGAGAACCUGGCUUAACCUUCCCUAACAUGGCUAAUUAGUGUAGAUCCAGUCUCUGGAGAAGAAGGAACUUAGCCCUUUAGAUGAGUGCAUGUUGUUCAGACGUGUAUGUUUAAGCUACUGCGUUCUAUAUGUGCUUUAAGACACACCCGUUUCAUGCCUUCCUGUAACUGCCUCUUGCCAUCUUAUUACAGUAGCUGCUCAGAUUUCAUAGGGAAACACCAGGAUUUCCAUGUCCCCUACAGCAGCCCUGACAUAAACACUUGUAAGAGACUGGAGAGGAGAAGUCUGGGGAAAGUUGGCCUAAUAACUUAGAAAAUAAUACUGUACACUGCUGUAAUGUCUUUCAUCCUGAAGGCUUCCAGGUAGCAUCACAAGUGAUAUGUAAUGCAGCUAAAUCUGGGUGCUGGAGCUAAUCUGAACACAAGGAGAGGGUAGUAAGUAAACAGGAGCCAAGGCAGACCACCCUGGACUCUCCCUUAUGAGAGGCUCUGUAGCAGAGGUUGGUAACUAUACUAAAUUGUGUCUGGGAGUAGGGUGAGCAGGUUUCUACAGGUAGGGGCAUCAAUUUUCUGAGGGAGGAUGGACAGGCUUUCUUUGUAGGAGGCAUGUUAGACUAUGGCAGCUGUUCAGAUAGCUAAAGGGCUCAGCUUAAAACUUCUUUUUCUCAUUUUUGGCAGUUAGCUGUGCUGUGGUAAUUUGUUCAAAAAAUAAAUGCCUUGCUUUCUAGUAAGGUGUCUAAGACAAUUAAGACUUUUCCAUUGUGUCCUAUGCUUUUAUUUAGUGUCUCAUCUGGUCAUGAGCCACUGCAGAUGCAUAGGAAAUGCAACUUCUCAGCUAAAUCACCUCAAAUUCUAAUGCCCCUAGUACCAUAGCUGAUGAAUUGGAGACACUGGGCUGUAAUUCUUUCAAAAACUCAUGAUUUGUAAACAUGGAAUGGCUGCUCACCUCAGAGUCUGAAGAGUCAAUGCCAUCAGCAUCCAUGUGGAGACUGUCAGGAGGGGUGACUGCUGGGCCUGCACCUGCUGCAGAGGAACACGUAGUCUGAGUGCUGCGGACUCAGCGGACCCGGUCACCAUCCUGAUUUCAUCCACCUGUGAUUCCAUCACCACCUGUAUAAGAAGAGAAGCCUAAUUAUCCAAUAUUAUUUUGACUGCUAAACCACCUGUUUGAAGUUCUUCCCAUUAUUGCAAGGGUACGAUACUGAGUGUCAUCAUGCAACCAUCCUUUGGCAGUCUGUUGCCUGAAUCUCAACCUCACUUGGCUAGCAGCCAAAACAAGGAACAGCGCUGCAGAGACUGGAAGUGAGACGACCGUUGAAGACUCAUGUUAAAUACACCACUGUAUAUUUAACUUCAGUCUGAGACAUCCAUUAAUAGUACACUGGAUCCACGACCAUCUUCUGAAGGCGGCUGACCUUGCCAGCCCAUUGUUUUCCCUUUGUACCACAUACUGGUUAUUCACCACCAGCUCUUGUGGCUGGAUUUAAUGCUACUAUGCAUGCAAGGAUAAAAAGCAGGUUACACCGAGACCAGCAUGAGAUGUAGAUUUGAGAGGGUUCUGAAUUAACUCUUUGAAUGCUGCUGGGUUUUUUCCAAGGUGCCAGCCAGCAGCCACUUAAAGCCCUCAGUGGAGAUAAGAGAAGCCCCCCCAUCCCUAUGCAGCAAUCAAAUUAACGAUUUUGGAAGGAUAUUAAGCCUCAAAUGCUUCAGGCUGUGAAGCCCAUCUGUUACCUCUUGAUGAAACCUAGUACAAGGGCAGAUCAUCCCACCUCACUCACUGCGAGUUUCUUACACCUUCCACUGAAGUAUCUGGUGCUGGCCGGUCUCAGGCACCAAGGAACUGCCAGCAGACUCAUCUGCCCGUUCCCUGCGUGGGAUUGGGGCAGACACUCACCUCGGGCGCUCUCUCCUCCUCCGUCUCCGGCGCAUCUAGCCCCAGCCGAUAGCGCAGCUCUUGGUUCUGCACGGCGAGCCCCUGGGUCUUCUCCCGCAGGAGCUGGUUUUCUAGCAGGAGAUUCUGGUUCUGAAAGAAGCCCACAGGCGACCUCAGCGGAGCAGGCCGCAGCAGCCAGCUCCGUUCCCCCCCGCCUGCAAUGUGCUUUACAGCCCUGCGGCGCAGGGCUCCCUGCCCUCCGCAGCCGGCCGGCCCGAGCCCCCCGAGCCCUACCUCCUGCUCCAGCUCCAAGACCUGCUGCUCCAGCUCGCUCAUCCGCGCCUUCUUCCUGUCCCGGGCGCUCUGCGCCGCUACGCGGUUCUUCAGCUUCCUGCGGGGAGACAGCGCAGCCCUGAGCCCCGGCCCCGGCGGAGACGCCCCCGGCCCCACCCCGCGGCGCCCCAGCGGCCCCGCUCACCUGCGCAGCGCCUUCUCCUCCGGACUCAGGUGAGUGAGCCGCUGCCGCUUGCGGGCCGGCGGCUGGGGCUCCGGGCUGGGGGAGCGCGGGCCCCCCACCGGGAGCGCCACGGAGAGGGGCCGGCUGG